AUUGAACGCUGGCGGCAGGCUUAACACAUGCAAGUCGAGCGGGGUGAUGGUGCUUGCACUAUCACUUAGCGGCGGACGGGUGAGUAAUGCUUAGGAAUCUGCCUAUUAGUGGGGGACAACAUCUCGAAAGGGAUGCUAAUACCGCAUACGUCCUACGGGAGAAAGCAGGGGAUCACUUGUGACCUUGCGCUAAUAGAUGAGCCUAAGUCGGAUUAGCUAGUUGGUGGGGUAAAGGCCUACCAAGGCGACGAUCUGUAGCGGGUCUGAGAGGAUGAUCCGCCACACCGGGACUGAGACACGGCCCAGACUCCUACGGGAGGCAGCAGUGGGGAAUAUUGGACAAUGGGGGGAACCCUGAUCUAGCCAUGCCGCGUGUGUGAAGAAGGCCUUAUGAUUGUAAAGCACUUUAAGCGAGGAGGAGGCUCUUUUGGUUAAUACCCAAGAUGAGUGGACAUUACACGCAGAAUAAGCACCGGCUAACUCUGUGCCAGCAGCCGCCGUAA
rnacentral:rRNA from 1 species